CUCCAGGGAGCUGGUGCUUGCUUUCUGGGGAAGCCUCUGGGUCACGACCACCUUACGCUGGCGUGGAGAAACUACGGAGGGAGAAGCGACCCGAGCGUCAUGUUUACACUGCAGCGUCAGCUCCUUCUCAUUUCUGACUGCAUGAGCCGUGCAUCAGACGUUUCCCCCCUUCAAACGAGAGCAAAACAGCCAAGUUACCCCACUGCUUUCUACAGGUGGCAACAGAAAAACCACGAGCUCCUGGACUCAGUUUUUUUCUGGGGGAAUGUUUCCUUGCAGAGGGCGUUUUUUGUGUGCUAUCCAAUCGGCAAGAGGUGGCUGCACUAACCGGGUAUCAUGCGUUGGAUUGUUCCAUCUCCUUCCUCUGCCCUCCAUCAGGAAAGGAAAUUCAGGCCGUUCUACUUCCCAGAUAUUUUCCCCUAGAAAAAAAAAGUUAUUAAUAUCCAACCAAGUGAGCUGUGCGGGCUGUUUUCCACCCAGCACUCGCAGCAGUAAGUCAGCAGGCAGCAGCACCCACCUGAGACACAAAUGAUCUUACUAUAGCACAGCUGACGGGGCAGCUUACCCUGCUGUCAGAAUCAAGGCGCCCUAGUUCAGUAACAAGGGUGGAUUUUGCCAAAACAGCCUUGAACUGAUACUUAAACAGCCCCUAAGUUCCUGUCAAAAAGCCACGCAGCAAAGCACAGAAAACACCACAGGAUUUCAUGCCUAAGCCUAAGCUAUCCCUGGAUUUUCUACGAGCCAGGGAUGGGCUUCAUUUGCCAAAAUUGAGCGACUGAACAUUUCCUAGGGCACCGGGCCAGGCUUCCGGGCACAGGCAGAAAUUAGCUCCUGUUUCAUCAGCUCCACAGCAUGUUGAAAGCACGGGGAGAGGAUGCGUGGACAUAGAGCUGUCCUGAAACCAAUGAGAGACAGAACCAGUGAACUUGCCCGCAGUAACCCAACCCAUUGGGUGGCCUUGCAAAAUGCCACAGAGCAAUGGAGACGGUGGGAAGCAUCCCCUCCACGGCCACCUUUCCCACCCCUUAAAACCUUUCCUGCAGAAGCAGUUAAAGCAUAGCACUGGGCUGCAAACAGGAGGCCAGAAACUCCUGCAGGAGCGGGGCCAGGGCUUCCCCUGCCGAUAGGGAAUUAUUCCUGCUCAGCUCCUUACGAGACUGCUCUCAGCAGUGACACGCUUGACUUUAAGUCUCGUAUUUGUGUGCGUGAGGUUAACGUGUUUAAAAACCUUUGCUUGUUUCAGUUGGCUUGGAAAUACCUAGCAGCAGCGUGCGAUGUAAGGGUCUGUACUGCUACAAGGCCACUUAUAAAAACAGCCCUGGUGAUGAUUUUUCAGGUGAAAACAGCCCACCUAUUUUCUUCCAGUUGACUCAGACACUCAUUCCCAGAGGGAUGUGAAACGCUUGGACGAUGCACAUCUGUAAACUUCCUUAGGGGUGUGCGUUUGGUUACUGAUUUGGAAAAUAACUGCAUUUUAAAGGUCAAGGAACAGCGCUCAGGCACCGUUCUUUUCAGUGGCUGGGUCCAAAGCCUGGAAGUGUUUUGCAUCAGAGAUGGAAACAGAUAUUAAGAGCUCGCUCUGCUUUCCUUUAGGUUUUCAUGCCUCUAGACAGAUUUCUAAAAUUACCUUCUGUAAAAGCAAGGUUCGCAUCCCAUGAUGUGCCAAAGGCAUGACGGCCCCUUCCACUGUUCCUUUAGCGAAGCUGUUUCAACUGGAAGUCUUCCUCCUACACCGUGCUCACAAGCAUAGGGAACACCCCCACGGCUGGUAGCUAGAGGUGCAGCCGUUAUGUUCAGGAGCUAAAAAGGCUGCAGAAACGACUGCCUAUGGCAAACUGCAACGAGCACGUUCUGGAACCGGGGGGUAAAGCAGUGCCCCGUGUAACGGGGCUACGCAGAACAGACGGAGGGACCAGCUGUGAUAACGCCCCGCCUAGGCGGUCACCUUAGCUGAGCUCGUCCGUAUCUUGUGAAGAUUUAGGUUUUAAAGGCAGAAAAUGUACAGUAAAGGGCCUAAGUGUU